UACGUAGGGUGCAAGCGUUGUCCGGAAUCAUUGGGCGUAAAGCGCGCGUAGGUGGUCAUGUAAGUCCGCUGUGAAAGUCAAAGGCUCAACCUUUGAAAGCCGGUGGAUACUGCAGGGCUAGAGUCCGGAAGAGGCGAGUGGAAUUCCUGGUGUAGCGGUGAAAUGCGCAGAUAUCAGGAAGAACACCAAUGGCGAAGGCAGCUCUCUGGGACGGUACUGACACUGAGGCGCGAAAGCGUGGGGAGCGAACAGG
rnacentral:rRNA from 1 species